CACCAUCUCCCUCUUUCUCUCUCCCUCUCCCCUGCUGGCACACUCUUUCUCUAAUAAAAAAAUAAUAAUAAAACACUAAAAGAUUAGGUUUCCAUAUGCAGUGUAAGGGUAUUUGAUUUGUAGACUCUCCUUCAGUUGUCAGCCCUGAUCAGGAUAAUGCAGCGGGCAAGUUGAAUGUCUAUGGUAAAGUAACGUAACUGGAUACUAAGAAAUCGUUUCAAGGGGCAGAUUGUAGAUCCCUGGCUCUAGUUUGUCCUGGUUAGCACUUUGACAGUGACUUGAUUAUCACAUUGCCAGAGGACAUGGAAGCUGCAGGGAUGGUGUACGUGGAAAAACGGGACGCAAAGCCAGUGGGUUUAAUCUUGUAAGAUAAUGUUUAAAAGCACACGUAUUUACAGUUCUGUAAUGAGAUCCACCAAAUAAUCAGGCUCUAGAGUUUAGGUAGGAAAAAAAAUGAUGAGUUUAGUCAACUGUAAGUCAUAUGAGAGAGAACGUCUAAAAACCCAUUGAGGGGCUCUUGGGUGGUUCAUUUGGUUGGGCAUCCAGCUCUUGAUUUCGGCUUAGGUCAUGAUCUUGCUCCUCGUGAGUUCGAGCCCUGCAUUGGGGUCUGUGCUGGCAGUGCGGAGCCUGCUUGAGAUAUGCCCUCUCUCUCUCUCCCCCUCCCCUGCUCACUCGCUCUCUCAAAGUGAGUAAAUAAACUUAAAAAAAAAACCUCAUUGAGAUUUCACGCUGCAGUGAUAAAAUUUCACUCAACAAACAUCUAAUGAAGGGCUACUAUAUGCAAAGAACAUAUAUCCGUAAAGAGUACACAUUUGGACGCUGUGAUCUCAGGACUGGAUUUUUAAUAGAAUCAAUAGAAAUGAAAUGAAUUUCACAGUUGAAUGCUGCACUCCAACUGUGACAAGUGCCAGGAGGGAAAAGUACAGGGUGCCACACGUACACAUAACAAGGGGACCUGAGCUCACGUCAGGGUCUGGGGAGGCCUCCUUGAAGAAAUGACUUUCACUGAGAAAGAUGAUGGGAAUUAACCAGGUAAAAGAAUCUUCCAGGUAGAGGAGGCAGCAUUUAUGAAGGUCUUCAGCCAAAAGUGAGGCUGCAGACGGCAAAGACAAGACACGCCAGGACUGAGUCUCGAAGGAAUUCAGUUCAACUGGAAAGUCCUGAGAUAACUGGACGACUCAUACGAGGUGGAAUGUGGUCAGUGCUGUGAAAGAUCUCAGAAUAAAGUUUUGCAGAUCAUAGGAGAUCUUUCUGUUUGCCCGGGAAUUAGGUAAAAAUUCACCAAGAUGAGCUUUCGUUUGUUUUUUUUUAUUUUCGAGAGAGCGUGCACACGUGUGAGCAAGGGAGAGUGAGUGGGGGGGAGAGAGAACCUCAAGCAGGCUCCACAUUCAACGCAGAGCCCAACAUGGGGCUCAGUCCCAUGACUAUGGGAUCAUGACCUGCGCUGAUAUCAAGAGUGAGAUGCUCAACCAACCGAGCUACCCAGGUGCCCCUCGUUUAGGUCUUUAAAGAAAGAUGUGGUUCUGGUGGGCAGGGUUAGGGUAUCCUCCAGAGGCAAAGACCGGUUAGAGGAGGAUAAGAAGAGUUAAACAGGGAGGAAGAGUCUCGGUAUGGUGUGGGAUCGUGGGAAUUGAAGAGAAGUUUACAACGAGAGAUGGGUCAUCAUUUGGGAUGAUUUGACAGUGUUCAGGUAGGAUGAGAACUGAGCUCCAUCCACCGUAUUCACCCAACUGGAAAUUACUGGUAAACUUAGCAUGAGUGGACUGAGCUGUGAGUAAAAAGUGAGGAAAUGGAGCCCACAGGUAGGGAGCGGCCCAGAACGCCUCGAAAACUCAACGCUGUAGGCUUCCGGUGACCGGAUCCUUGUGAUGUUCCUUUUUUUUUUUAAUUUUUGGAAUGAAGCACAGAGCAAUAGUCAUGCAGUAUAAGUCCUACAAAACUUAAUUUCAGUUGGAUGAAUGAAUAUUUGGGGAAAGAAAGGUUAAUUAUACUAGAAAUAGGACAAGACUUUGGGGAAAAAGACUUACUAUCACACUUUGUCUCUAGCAAAUUACUAACUUUGUGACCUUGGGCAAGUCAUUUAACCACUUGGAGCCCUACUUUCCUUACUUAUAAAAUGAGGAUAAUGAUAAUUGAUCUAAUUUCCCUAAAGAGUUGGUGAGCAUGCAAAAGUAAGAAACUUUCCAUGAAUGUGUGGGGUCCUUAUCUAAUAAAAGAUACUUUAGUAUUCGAAGGAUUUGAAGCUAUGUCAUGGACUGAGGAGGUGGUCAGAUCAUUGCCUCCUCUUCCUGGACUACAUUUCCCAGGGACCCUUGCACUGGACUAGCCCUGUGUUUGUGUGUGAGCAGUGACGUGUGACCAGAGGGGUUAUGUGCCGCUUCCGGGACCGGGUCAUUGAAGCCUCCCCAAAGGGCCCCUACAUGCUCCUGCUGCUUUUAAUGGUUUCCUGCAGAUGGGGGAUGGGGUAAGAACUUGUAAGUUCCUACUACCAACUUGGAAGACAAUUUGGUGUUUGUGUCAAAAUUUGAACAUUCUCCUAUCCCACAGUCCUGCUAUUGUAGUCCCAGGUAUAUUAGCUCUAGAGAAAGUUGGAAAUGUGCUCUUACGAGACAUUUUUUUAAAUGUUUAUUUAUUUUUGAGAGAGAGAAACAGAGUGUGAGCAGGGGAGAGGCAGAGAGAGAGGGAGACACAGAAUCUGAAGCAGGCUCCAGGCUCUGAGCUGUCAGCACAGAACGCGACGCGGGGCUCGAACACACGGACCAUGAGGUCAUGACCUGAGCCGAAGUCGGACACUUAGCCAACCAAGCCACCCAGGUGCCCCUCUUAGGAGACAUUUUUGAGUGGGUUUGUUUGUAAUAACCCAAACUGAUGGCAAUCCCGAUGUCUUUCAAUAGGAAAUCCAAUGUCCAUGCCUAGAAGAAUGGAGAAAGCAAUUGAAAUUCACCAAGAUUAAUUAACACUAUGGGAACAAAUCACUAUACGUGACAUGACGUGAAUGGAAGUAAGAAGUAUAAUGAUAGGUGAAAAACACAAGUCACAAAGGAAAACGUGGCAAAAUUAUAAAAGACUGAAUAAGAUAAAAUGACGGGGCCAAGCAAUACACUUUUUAACACUGUAUGCAUCAGUGACUUUUUCAAAAGGAGGAAAGGAAUUGUAUAAAUAAUGCCAAAAAAAAAAAAAAUACUGCACACAACCACCAUGAAACUCAGUGACUGAAAGAAAGAAACACGUGGGCACCUGGGUGGCUCAGUUGGUUAAGCGUCUGACUUUGGCUUAUGUCAUGAUCUCACGGGUUGUGAGUUUGAGCCCCGCGUUGGGCUCUAUGCUGACAGCUCAGAGCCUGGAGCCUGCUUCGGGUUCUGUGUCUCCCCGUCUUUCUGCCCCUUUGCCUCUUGUUUGCUCACUUGCUCUCUCUCUCUCUCAAAAAUAAAUUAAAAAAACAUUUUUUUAAUAAAUAAAGAAUCAUGUAAUAUGUAUAUAGCUCACUGUCGGCUGUGUUCAUCUGACCUUGCCACUGCUCCGUUGACCUGACCUGGGCUUCCUCGUAUUUCCAUGGGGGCUACGGGUUUGCUGGGUGGUUCUGGUAAUCUUGGCUGACACCUGUUCUUGGCUCGGCUGUCGGCUGAUCUAGGAUGGCCAUGACCUAGGGCGACAUAGCUCUGCUUUGUGUGUCUGUCGCCAUCCAACUGGCUAGUCUGGUCCUGUUCUCAUGAUGGGGCCCAGAGGGAAGGAAUCAGUGAGAGCGAUCCUGCAAAGGGCCAACAGGAAUGUGUGUGCACUUUCCAAAGCUCCACUUCUGUUUCCUUUGCUUAUAUCCUAUUGGCAAAUGCCAGGCACAUUGCCAAGCGUAGCCUUAGAGCGGGAAGGGAUGACGUUCUAGGAUAGAGGCCAUAGGAGGACAUUAAUGAGGGCCGUGGAUGCAGUCAGCCUGGCAGAAGUGAUGACCCCUGUCAGGACGGCAAGGGGUGGGAAGGAGAGGAAAUGCAGCUGCCAGCUGAUUGGUGAUGUUCUAAUACCUACGUGAGGCAGUGGUUUUUUACUUUUCACUUUGUAAUUGUGCCUUGUCACAGGCAUGCAUAUAUUAUGUUUAUCCUUUUAAAAAAAAUUCAAUGUUUUCAUUUUUGAGAGAGAGAGCACGCAGGAGCAGGGGAAGGGCAGAGAGAGAGGGAGGCAGAGAAUCCAAAGCAGGCUCCAGGCUCUGAGCUGUCAGCACGGAGCCUGAUGCGGGGCUUGAGCUCGUGAACCGAAUGGAGACAUCAUGACCUGAGCAGAAGUUGGACGCUUAACCAACUGGGCCCCCCGGGCACCCCUAUGUUUAUUCCUUUGUAACCACCAAGUGCUAGACUUUUGAAUAUUCAAGGGAAAAGCUUUUGGGGAACUCCAGUGGCAAAUGAGGCCUCUAGGCCUCUGGAUUCUCGCUGUGCAAAAUGGGAUAUUAAUUGUGGCUUUUAACAGAAGAUUGUGACUUUGACAAAGAAAGCACGUAUCAAAUGAAAUUGAAGGACAAGCUUUGCCAAACUGGUGAGAAGAAUUCUUUUUUUUCUAGAGACCUCAGAUCAGAUUUCGGCAUUGUAGAAAAUUCAUUCAUUCUGCUCUGUUCUGCUCUCUUUUAUGCUGUUUGUUUUAUUCCUGGAACAAAGAUCCCACAGCUUGUCUUCGAAAGACUUCCAUCGCUUCUCAAUUGGACGCAGAUCUCAGACCUCCAGGGUUUGAUUCAUUCAUCUCGAGCUGGAACUCUGUUUUUUCACCCCGGUCCAGAAGACUGGGAGAUUCACUUUAAAAAGAUGCUGCCGCUGCUUUUUUCCACAUCACAAAAGAAUUAAUGUUUGUGCAGCCCUUUGAAGAUGUGGUGUCACGCAUGUGCUAUUAUUAAUAAUAAACUACAGAUCUGCUUCACACCAUCUGAAAAACAGGGCUGUGCCACCAUGAAAGGGCUCUUAUUUCAGCUCGUUCUCCAUUGUGCUUUGCCCGGGUCCCGCUCUGCUUCAGUCUGGGGCUGCUUCCAGAACAUGGGUAAAGAAAGACAGCAGCUGGAGGGAAACAAAACAACCUCUACCACCCAACACAUUAAAAAAAACAACUGAAGUAAAAGAGGUUUGUUUUUUAAGUUUAUUUAUGUCGAGAGAGAGUGAGCAUGGGAAGGGAGAGAGAGAAGGAGAGAGAAAGAGAAUCCCAAGGAGGGUCCUCACUGUCAACGCAGAGCCCGAUGUGGGGGCUCGAACUCACAGACCGCAAGAUCCUGACCUGAGCCGAAACCAAGCGUCAGAUGGUUAACCGACGGAGCCACCCAGGUGCCCCUAAAAGAGGCUUUUAUAACCAUUAGAGGUCAGUGCCACCUGCUAUGAGCCUUUUGGCCGGAACGUGGGUUUGGGACACAGUACCUGCUGAAGGUAGGGACAAACGGAGCGUGUCUGAUUCUGAGCGCAUUCUGGGGGAGGACAAACAUUCUCAGGGCUCGCCAGCCUGCACAGCCAGGAAAGAAGGCACUGAUCACAGCCUGCUGUCUGUCUCUCCUUUUCAGGGAGUUGUUCUUUCCCCCCUUUUCUGAAACCACUCCUGUCAUUCCUCCGGUAGCUUUGUGUAAUCUACAAGCUACCUUUCCAUGGUGGAGUUUGGGGAGAUGGGUGUAAAAUGAGGCCACUGUAAAUACCAGCGCAGUAAAGCCUUGAGGACAGGUUUCACUUGGAGAGGCGAGAACACACACACGGGGCUGAAAUGCGAAGGGUGGUUUCCGUGGGCUCCACGGACCGCGGGGACACCCACUGACCGGCCUGAGGAGGGAGAGGCACGUUUGAGAGCUGGGUCUGUUCUGUUUUUGAAAAAAACAAAAACAAAAAAACUUUACACCUGCCUUUGGUGGCGAUUUUCAACUCACCCUGCCGGUUUCAGCCUCCCGUGGGCCCGGCUUCUUUUGGGAGCUGCGUAUUCAAAAUGGACUUCUGCCUCGUUUCUGAAUUACAGCGGCUGGCAGACGGGGAAAGGAUGGAUCUCUGCUCCGUUUCGGGCCCAACGCUGAAGGUGUAAUACAUGAACAAUGGAGCUGGGGAGAGAGAGACGGAGCAAGCAAAAAGAGGCAAAAAUACAAAACUCAAGGAAAUCAAGAUCACGCUGUGCAAAAUUGUUACAGCUGUUUCUGUUUUUAUUGGCUGUUUCUUUUGGCUUCGCUUUUUCAGCAACUGCCGUUCAGAUGGGCAGGGAGGCAUACGGUGUGGCCCAGCUCCGCGCUGGGAGGACCGUGGAUGGAGCAGGGAAGGAGGGGAGGGGCAGGCGCUGGGGGAGGAGGUUCUGAAUUUCGUAUAGCCCUUGGAAGAGCUACACAUCAAAGCAUUUUUUUUUUUUUUUGAUAGUUUGGUGGAAGCCUUAGCAAUAGAAUUCAGAUGCACUUAAUGGAAGGCUCUUAAAAGCAUCCCAUCUCCCUGGCUGCAUCAGAUUAGCGGGCUGUUUAAGGCACUGCACCAGCCCUGGAAAUGACGUUCCGAUAUCUCGGAGGAAAUAAAGUGUCAGGACACAUCCUUUUUUCCCUCUCUCUCCCCGACUGUGAUUCACCUAGACCAUUGCACAGGGCUGAACAUAUGGAGAGUGCACAUUUUCCCUGGGGAGCUCUCUUUCUCCCGGUUACAAAUGGAAUGAGCUGUAUGCCUGCUCACUGACCCUAGGAGAAUAUUGGCAGCUGGGAUACAGCGCCUCAAGGCUUGGCGGAAAAUGCACACCCACCUUGAUUACCCUGCAUAGCAGCUGGAAGGUGAGCCAGGAAAAAAAGCAUGUGGAAAAGCCCACAAUUACCCUCUCACUCUCUUAAAACUUCCUAUUGAAUCGGUGAUUUAACUGACAUUUUUAAGGUUUAUAAAAUUGCUUACACUGAAGUUCUUGGAUUUGAUACUGUUCUUAACCACCCCUGUCCCCCCACCCCACUCCAGACACAACCACUCUUAACCAAAUUCAUUCUGCAAACCGUAAGGAAAGAUUAUUCUAAAAGCAAACACUGAGUCCCUAAAUGAAGGCAUGUGGGCAGUAGAACAGGGAGAUCAGGAAUAUAGCAAGGGGGAAAGCGUUUACUUCCGUUUGGCUUGUAGUUGGAGCAAAAGGGAAAGUUUAAUGAAAAGGCGAUUAAUGAAAAAUACCUAGAGCUGGUGAUACGUUGUUACACACUCUCGUGUUAAAAAAACGUCCAAUCCAGUGAGCCCCACUGUAGAAUGAAGGGCAGAUCCCAAGCCCAGGGACCAAACAUUGGUUCUGCUUUGAACUUACUUGACUUUUCUGGACUGGACCCCUGACUUGACCGCAGGAGGGCAAAUCGUUUACCUUUAUGCCUCAGUGUGCUCAUCCAACAAUGGAAGCUGCACUGGGGAGAUGGGUUGACGGAAGGUUGCAAAGCCCUUUGAGGCUCUAAAACCCCAGGUGAUUGUGAACAACAAAUCUAAUGUGAUUAGAUGUGCCUUGGUUUCUUGGUUGUGUCUUAGUCAUUUUUUUUUCAUGUUUACUUCUGAGAGAGAGAGAGAGCACAAGCCAGGGAGGGGCAGAGGGCGAGGGAGACACAGAAUCCGAAGCAGGCUCCAGGCUCCAAGCUGUCAGCACAGAGUAUGACGUGGGGCUCGGACCUGUGAACCAUGAGAUCAUGACCUGAGCUGAAGUCAGAGGCUCAACUCAACCGACUGAGCCACUCAGGCGCCCCUACAAUGAUAUAUUUUGAGAUGUGCCAUGCUUCUUUUGCAUUUUCUAAUUUCAUCUCUUCCUGCUUUGUUCUUAUGUGUUAAUCGUGGCUAACAGCAUGUCAUUAUUGCCAGAUAUUAAAUUUGUUUAAAAGUUUUCAGUUCUGGGAGAAUGUGGUCCAGGUAGAGUGAGGCAGGCUGUUUUUAUGAAAGGGGGCUCACUAACCUCCUUGAACAGGAAAUGGAGUGAUUUCCCAAAUUACAGAUGUCUAGGGAGAGCUCUUCUCCUCUUACAAAGAAGGAAACUGUUCCUUGUGAAGGAACAGUAGUAAAAAAAAUAACAGAUUUUGUUAUUUGUCGCUAAUACUUAAAAGGAUAUGGUAAGUUUGUUUGCACCUCAGCUCUUAGUGUAAGGGUGGGUGAAAUUCUUUUGCCCUGGGCUUUGGCCACAAAAUGCCAUUGGUUGAUGGGGCUUGACCAUACAUUCCCUCCUGAGAACCUUGUGAAAUUUAGAUGUAAGACUUUGAAACUGAAGCACUGAAUGUUCUUGUUUGCUCUCCGUGUUCAGCCUUAAACUUUUAUCUGUAGCCCUAGGAAACUCUGCAAAGGUCAAUCUUGUGAACAUGGACGUUGGUUAUACUUUUCGGGGUCAUUAUGAACAGCCUCGCUGGAAAAAACAGAUCUGUUUUCUUGAUUCACUUUUCUGUGCUUUAGAAUGAAAGUUAUUAUACUUCACAAUGUUAAAAAAAAAAAAGGCAUCUGGGGAGCCUGGGUGGCUCAGUCAGUUAAGCAUCCAACUUCAGCUCAGGUCAUGAUCUCUUGGUUCGUGAGUUCGGGCUCUGUGCUGACAGCUCAGAGCCUGAAACCUGCUUCGGAUUCUGUGUCCGCCCCCCUCCCCGCGCCCCCCCCCCCCUCAUGCUCUGUCUCUCAAAAAUGAAUAAACGUUAAUUUUUUUUUUUUUAAAGCAUCUGUUACAUGUUACUCCAAAUUUGAGAUACCAUUAGUCAGGAGCAUCUUUUACAAAUGAGGAGUCGAUUUUUGCAUUUUGAGGUUCAGCCAGGCACUCCCAUUAUUCGGCUAUACACCGAACCUCACUUGCAAAAACAUGUUUCUGCCAUUAUCCUUACAGAAGGCCGUGUGUUCACACACAUGCACAAUUAUGAGGCUGAACAUCCCUUCUUCUUUGGGUUACUCUUUGAUCUUUUAUUGUUUUGCUGCUGUGUCCAUAUGGAAAUGUUACCAACCAGCGGGCAAUUCCUUUUCCAUUAUGAUUCCUCGUCCAGAGUCUUCCCCCCUGUUGUUUCUUAUUUGUGUUGGGCUCCAGAUUGAUGCCAAUGUUUCAAAGGAGUACACCUCCUCGGGUUCAAAAGCUCAAUUUGCUUUAAGCAGCCAUCAAAGCUUACACUCAGAUUUAAGUACUUAUUUAUAGCCAGGUUUUUCUGACAUGCAGUGACAAUGUGGGCAUCUCCCAAGAAACAGUUUUCUUGUGAUACGGGGGGAGACCUUUGGGAUCGGGUAGGGAGGUCAUCAGCCCUGUCAGCAAGAAGCCUGUUUUCAGUUGGUGUUCCCUCUGCUGAUGUCCAUUUUGGUCCUUACCAAUUGGAAGUAUAUAUAAGACCCACAGGGGCAUGACCUCAUCCAAAGAAGAUCGAUUGAAAAUUUUCAAACCCUAAAAAAGCUCAGUUUGUGGAUGGUAGGUUUAUGUUCAUUCGUAAAAUUUCUUCCUGUCCAGAGUACCCAGUAAUGCUUGUCCUGGAAACCCCCCACUUUUUUAUACCGGAAAAUACCAAAGAUGUGAGAGCAUAGAGGUAUGUGUUUGCUAAGGGAACUUUUUUUUAAUAGCCUUCUGAAUCUCCUCCUUAGAAGAGAUUAAAUAAAGCCGGUGCCUUUCCACUUCCCAAGUCUAUCUCACACAUCAAACAAAUGAAAAUCCUUCCAAAACUCCUUUCCCUUCAUGCCCACACUCAAAUAUGCUGUUUUAUGUGGGUUGACCAAAGUCUUUUUCUGAUUUUCCUCCCCAUCUGUUCUUUGAAUAAACAUGCAUCCUAAAGGAGGACUUACAGGAUCAAAUUUGAUUCCUCUAUUUGGAAAUGUUUUCAAAAGACCAUGCCGCACUUGGCUAUUCGGUCAAAUUAGGUUCCGUUUGCCUCUAAUAGCAUUUAAUUACCUCCCACACGCUUCUCACACUCUUUCACUUCUUGGUCUGCAUGACUUAGCUCUUCUGAUGUCCGACAAAGUGUACCGGCUAUAUUGGCCGUCUGGAAUUGUGGAAACCAAAAUAACCGGAGACACAACCGGUUAGUUUUUAACUUUUCAGGUUGUUUUGUGGCCAAAGACACGGCAUCUCAAUUUCUUGCUUUUACAAGUGGAUUGCUAUACUCAUGGUGAUGAGGGAGCGUGGGGCAAGCUGAGGACAGAAUACAGGCUGGCACCCCGUCCCCUCCCCCAGGUGGAGUAUAUGUGACAGUCCCCGGAGACGCCUGGCUGCCCAAGAACCAAGGAAAGGGGUGUCAGUGCUGGCCAUGGUGAUGGGGGAAACUAAGGCAGAUGAAAAAUUAAAUUCCCUUACUGCCUUUAGCCCAUUGACAAGUCCUUGAAACAGGCAGUGACCUCCCUCUAGGAGCUCAGCUGCCUCAAUGAUGACACUCUCCUGGAUGCAAAAGAGAACUUUAGCUUAACAUUGAACCUCGAGCAUCCUGUAAGUGUACUUCCUUUAUCUCAACUGCAGUAAGAUAGACGCUGGCAAUCAUACUCGAAGCUUAUGGCCCCCCAGUAUGCAUCUGAAAGGUCUCAUGACUGAGAUUUUGUUAAACUGUAGUGAGUGGCAUUUCCCUAGUAACAGCUAGCCCCUCAAGGUCCUGGAAACCUUGCUUCCAAAAUACCUUAGAGACUCAGUCUAUCCCUCACCCCCUCCCAAUCUGAGGGUAUAUAGUGAGUUACCCGUCACAACCCCAUACAGCUCUUCCUGCCCACGGGUCCUGUCCCCGUGCUUUAAUAAAAUCCCCUUUUUGCACCAAAGACGUCUUCAAGAAUUCUUUUCUUGGCCCUCGGCCCUGGGCCAGCCCAAUAUCACCCUAAAACUUCAUCAAUAUGAUUUAAAAACUCACUUGAAUGGAAAGCAAUGUGCACUAAUAAAUCUCCGAGAGACGUCCAACCCAAAGUAUGAAGCAUCGAGGACAAGUUAUCUUACAGUUAUCCUCAAGGAGGGAUUUGGUUAUCCUGAUUAAUUUUUAUUUUUCUUUCUCCAGAUUAGAAAGGAGAGGAGGGUGGAGUGAAGGCCUUGUGUGGAAUGUCAUGUUCAGUUGUCAUUAUUUCCGGUUUACAACCUCUGCAUAGGCUGAGAUUAUGUCUGUUAAUCGGAGUUCAAUUUUAGUGGCAUCACAUACAAAGAUUAGUUAUCUUCAGUAUCCUAAUUCAGUUUAUUUUUAUUUAUUUUUUAAUCUCUACUCUUGAGAGAGAGAGAGAGACAGUGUGUGAGCCGGGGCAGGGAAGAGAGGGAGAGGGAGACACAGAAUCCAAAGCAGGCUCCAGGCUCUGAGCUGUCAGCACAGAGCCCGACGCGGGGCUCGAACUCACAGACUGAAAGAUCAUGACCUGAGCCGAAGUCGGAUGCUCAACUGACUGAGCCACCCAGGCCCCCCUCCUAAUUCAGUUCAAACCUGGAGUUGGCAAACUUUUUUUUUUCUUUUGAAGGGCCAGAUAGUGAAUGAUUUAGGUUUCGAUGUGCACUAUGAUCAAAAUCGCAUAUAUUAGGUAGGGACAUAGAGGAUAAAAGAGGAAGCGCUUGCCCCUCUGUGGUCCUGUUCGCUGUUUACAUUGAGGCACUCCUGCCUUCAGCUGGAGACGUUCUCUGGCUCUGGUGGGUCGGGCCUGGUGGGCAGGCAGGAGUGUGUGGUGCCCCGGGGAUGGGGAUGGGUGGGUGGGUGGCCCCUGUUCCCAGGGCAGGCGCUGCAGGUGGGAGAAAUUGGGACUGUGGCUUGCAGCGUUAGUGCACGGAGUAGUGACUGAGGGCCGUACACAAAGAGGCUUUGGUCUGGAUGUGGUCUCCUGGCUGGAGUUGGCCAAACUCCUGAUUACACAAACACCUAGAUGCCGAUGACUCCAAACUGAUAUUUCCGGUGUGAGUUGUCCCUGUUGUACAUUUCCCCUUAGCAUCUUGGUAGGCCCUUUAAAGAAAAGAUGUCCCAAACUCAUUAUAUUACCUUCUUCCCUCCACGCCCCAUUUCUGCAAAUGGCACCACUGUGCUCACCCAGCUGACUCGGGUCAGAAACUCUGCGUCCAUUUCUGACUCCUCCUUUCCUUCAUGCUUUUGCCUACAGUGACUGGACUAGAAGCCACGGAAAGGCCUGAACAGAUCUAGCUCAUGUUAAUAUUUAUAACUUCCUCUAGAGGGCCUGACACACAGUAGGCUUCUAAAACUUGGUUGUUUAAUUAAUCUACCCAACACCAAACGUAAAUGAUUCUUCCUGAUCAUCUCAUUCCUCUGUCAACAUUUAUCCAUGGCUUUCUGUUGAAUAAAGAAUAAGCAUAAAAUGUUUGCAGACCAUGCAAAAACUUUUUCUGUUUGGACUGUGCCUCCCCUAAGGACUGAUGAUACAGAAUUAUGUCACAGGCACUAGUAUCUCUCGUACUUGAUGUCUUCAGGCAGUGCUGUUCCCUCCGCCCAGAGUGCUUCUCCACUGGAUUUCCAUGUCCUUCCAGACUUGAGUCUGUUAUCUGCAGGAAGAACCCCCAGGUACCUUCCCAUUCAUCAGGUGUUUGUUCUCAUAGAGCCAGGCAGGGCUCCCCCCAACUCUACCACAAGACUUCGUUGGUGCUGAGAUUACUUGGUAAAUGCAUUCGCCCUUACUGGAUUAUACAUACAUCAAGGCAAGACUUUGUCUGUCUUUUUUCUGUAUCUUAGUUUGGCGCUUGGAACAUGGCUAAAAUGACACCUAAGUGUAUUUGAGAAACCUCAGAACGCCUUUUGCAUCCAUGUAGACUCAAGAGGGAUCUUUCUAGAGUCCACUGGACCUCUCUCAAACCUUCUGUUUGCAGCCAGAGAGAGCAGGUUACAAUUAGUCUGUGCUAGGGAUUGCUUUGUGUAGUGAAAGGCACUGGGGCUCCUAUUGGAAAGGAUUUUGGGGGGGGGGAGGGUAGGAGGAAAGUGCUUUGAAGCCCCAAGGCAUGGUCUUUGGUCUGGAAAUCCCCCUGGGUCUGGCUUUGUUGCACACAAGGCAAGGCAAUUGCAUUUACAAGUUACUUAGACACAAAGAGGCUGAGCCUGACUGGGGCAGCCAAUCGGAGCCAGCACCAAAGUGUAAAUUUUGUCCUGCAGUCACAACGGCAAUGCUCAUACGAUAUCAGAGAUGGCAAUGAGAAUCUUGAGUUAUUUAUUUAUUUUUUUGAGUUAUUUCUUUAUAUGCAUAAAAGAAAGACAGUCCAUAAUGAUCAUCGUAAUCAAUGAUUGUAAUACCCUCUAUGCGCAUGUCAAUAUUAAACAGCAAGAAGGACGCCUGACUGACUCAGUCGAUAGAGUGUGCGUCUCUUGAUCUCAAGGUCGUGAGUUUGAGCCCCUUGUUGGGUAUGAAGCCUACUUAAAAUAAAACUUAAAAAAAUUAUAUGACACGAAAUCAAGCAAUAUAUUACCUAGUGUCUCUUUUUCCUUUCUGAGCUCUAGGUAGGUGGAGAAUUACAAAUAGAAAAAGUGUAAGAGAUAAUUAUAUCAUUGCAAUAAUUUAGAAAAUCUGAAACAAAGCCUGGUGGCAGUGGCCUUAGGGGGAAUGUAAUACCAACUAAGUUAUUUGAAUAUAAGCAUGAUGUUGUUUAAUGCAUCCAUCAUGUAAUUAGGCAUCAUUAAGAAUCUUUCUAACAUACAGUGAUAAUUGAGAUAAUAAUGAAGGAAAAGAGAUAGUAAAGAUUAUAGACAUUUGGAAGAAAGUUGCUCUUUUGAAUUUAAUAAGGAAUAUAAUAAAGUACCUGAGGGCAUUGUAAGAGUCCAACAGGGGGUUGAGCUUCAGGGAUUUGUGAAUUUUUUUUUUUUUUACGAAUACAGUACUGUACAUGUAUUUUCUCUUAUGAUUUGCUUAAUAAUUUUUCUUUUUCUCAAGCUUACUUUAUUGUAAGAAUGCAGUCUAUAAUACAUAUGCAAAGUAUGUAUUAAUCAACCUUAUGUUAUCAGCAAGGCUUCUGGCCAACAGUAAGCUAUUCAGUUAUGGGAGAGUCAAAACUGAUAUGUGGUUUUUUUGACUGCGUGGGUUAGCGCCCCAACCUCUGUGUUGUUCAAGGAUCAACGGUACUCAGACUCUCCAGUUAUAUCCUUUCAUUAACCACAAACGCCUGGCAGUUAGAUGAAUUUGGGUUAUUAUCAGAGAGGGAGGAAAAAGUAUAAAAUUGGGUGCAGAGAGAAUGCCUGCUUUAUGCCCUUCGCCCCUACUUUUCUUUCACCCCAGUAAAAGGAUGAAAAAUAUUCCAAAAGUUCCACUUCCAAAUUACUUAGAAAGGGGGCCUUUUAGUAACCAAAAACUCCUCCAAAAGGAUACAAUUAAUUUACAAAGCAAGACAACUUCCUAAGCUUUCCUAUCUUCCUGUUUCAUGAAAAAGAAAAUAAGACAUCAUGGUUUGAUCCAUAAUUAAUCACAUGAGAAUGUAAUUUAUUUUUGUCCUGAAAAUGUUGAUUUUGGGGGAAAGGAGAAGGUAGGGCUUUUUUUUUUCCUUUUUUCUCCCUGUCUCUCUCUCUCUCUCUCUUUUCUCUUUCUUUCUUGCUUUCCCUCUCUCUCCCUGUUUCUCUCUCUCUCUCUCUUUCUUUCUAACAUUAAGGAAGAAACUAGCAGAAAUAAAUGAAUCAUAAAAUUGUGGGCAAAUCAGACCACUGGAAUUAAUGAGAUUUCUCCAAGUAGAACUUUCUCUGAAGCCAGGUUUAGGCUCUGGGAAAAAAAAAAUAUGUGCGCUUGUGGGCUUUAAAGAUGAAAACUGUUUCCUCUGCACGGUAAUGCAGAAAAGGAUUUACCCCACCAAAUUUCCCCAGAGUCCUCACUAAUAAGAUAAAGUCAGCUGAAAAUCACUUUGCUCAGCAUAGACUGUGACUUCUGAAAGGCUCAUUGAAAUUAAUCAGUACAUUUCUGUCCUACACUGUCUUUAUGUUUCACAUCUAAGCAUGUUCCUUAGGACCAAGUGAGGAAGAGACAGUUUCCUCAUAGUCUUUGGCAGGUGUCAUUUACUUGCAAGGUGGGCUGACAGAGGCGGAGAGCAGCUCAUCUUGAAGGUUCUGUGUGUUGCUAGAGCUGACGUAUGUGAUGAGUGGGCAGACGAGCCUCUGUGAUCUACUUUCUUCAUUCUGCGUCAUUCCUCUCUGGAGUAUUUCACAGGGACGUCCAAGCCAGCGUGGAAGAAUGAAGGACCGCACCACCAGGCAGAAACUAAAGGGAGCAACCAGGAGAAAUGUGUCUUGUGUUGGAAGCUACGCAAAACGCCAGGAAGGUGGAGGCAGACCAUGGAUGCUGGUCAAUGAAAUGUGAAAAGGAGGAGCACAUGCCAAUCCCAGGCUGAGACAGUGAAAAGCCCUCGGGACUCUUUGGGCAGUUUCUUCCCCUGCCAUGGGGAAUGUGAAGGCCUCAUGUUGAGACAGAGGAGCCUCUGGAUCAAAGCCACUUGGAUCACCGUGUCGCUGCAUGGAGGACACCUGCCAUGGAGGAUGGCCUGGGCCCACGGCCAGACUAUGCAUGUGUUAUGUUAAACUAUGUAAGACUGCAUGGCUGUUGUUUACACAGCGUGAGCCAGCCUGCUCUAGCUGAUACUGAAAGGAUGCUGUAGGAGUGCUUUCUAGUCCCCUGGGAACACCUUGUGUUUUAUCACUUGUGAUAACAUGGGUAGUAAACACCAGUCUUGAGCUGUGGGGAAUCCUAGAUUUUUUUGGAUGGUAAGCUCUUAAAUUAUUAUUAGUGUGCAAGUGACAUUCAACUGAAGGAUAAAAUAGUGAGAAUAAGGUACAUAUUGAGGAGAAAAGGCCACAGUGGAAAAAACAACUCUGUUGAAGUUGAAUCCCAGUCUCCCACCCUUAUCUCUAUUCCUUUGAGUUUUAUAAUCUGCUUUCCAAGUCGGUUACCUCAUAAUUAAAAUAAGGAUCACACUCUCUGCUUUAUAGAAUUGCUGGGCGGACGUACUGGCAUAGGUCACUAAUGUGACCUUGAGAGAGAUACUUGAACUUUGUGAGCGUGAAAUUCUUUAUGUUUAAAAGGAAAGCAAUACCCACCUUGGGGGCUGUGGUGAGGACGCAUGAGAAUGUGUGCGUUCCGUGGUUUCUGGCACAUGCUAUAUGCUCAAUAAGGUUGAUUGCCACCAUGAGUUGAUAAGCAAACGUGUUGGGAUUUACUCUCCACAGUAGCAUCUCCAAGCACGGGGGCUUAUACCUCGAUUAAGGGCGUGAAGAGUUUUCCGUACCUCGGGCUCCACGUAGAGCUGGACAGUCUCAUUUUGCUGUUUUGUUAUUAGCAUGGAGUACAAAUAAAUAAAUGCCACUUUCCUUUCUUGUGUAUGAGCCCUAUCGUUCAGUGUUUUUAUAGACCAUUCUGAGUCUGUCUUGGGCUCUGCAUAGAGAGAAAUAGGCUUCAGGUUUGCUCUCAUCCUGGGGUGAUUCUGGCCUGGAGAGAAAACCCAGGCUGGAUUUUCUUAGACUUUUCAAGAAAGCAUACCCACCAUCUACACCUGUACUGUCAACUGGUUAAUUUUUAAACUAUCCUGAUCUGUUUUUACCAAAACCCACACAACAGAAAUGUAAGGCGGAGGGACACUUGGCUCUCCCACAUCUGCUGACAGCUUUUGCCGUCCUGGUUUGCUCUCCGUUUUCGACAGCCGAGUUCAUCUGAGAAGCAGAAGCACAAACAUCAAGUUAGCAUCUUGCAUACAUUACCCUGCGAUAAUUCACAGCACAAUAAACAGCUGUUAAUGAAGAGUCUCAGUGCAGAGAUAUCUGGUUUUAUGAUUUACUCGACACGACUAAUUAAAGAAAGAAAUCUUUAUUGCCUUUUAUAACUGUGCAGCCCCUUCACAUUUCUGUCUUUACGCAUUUUUUCCCCUUCAAGUCUGUGAGCGAUAUUGGCCCACAUUGGUUUGUGCUCCCGAUGGAUUACAGUGUAACUGGAUUCUCCUGUCUCUGCAACUACCUUUUUUUUUGCCAGUUCCCUACACUUCAGUCCUUUCACGUCUCAGAAGCUCCAACCCCUACAGCUGUCCUGGUCCCUCCACCAGCGAUCUGUUAAAGGAAGUAAUUUUAAGUUUGUAAUGGCUUUAUUAUAUGCUAAAUAACUGUUUGAAUGUGAACAAAUCACUUACCUCUUGGUGAAUUUCCUCAUCUGUGAAAUAAUGAGGUUUGACUAGAUCACCCUGGAAAACUACUGAGACUGAGGAUUCUAUGGCAACCCAGAAAUCAAGUCAAGAGCUUUAGGGCUUUCAAACCUAAGACUGGAGGGAGGUGAUGCUGAAUGUCACCAAAAUAAUUAAUUUCUAAUGGUAGAUCGUAUUAUCGUCAUGCCAAAUGUAUGGCCUUUUGGUGGAAUACCAGAAAUGCAGAAGACAUUGUUCCUGCCCUGAAGGAGUUUUUAGUUCAGCAGUGAAGACAUGUAUAUGACUAACUUUAUGUUAUAACAUUUAAUUAAAUUAAUUAACAUCCUAAUGGCGUCCCAAUCACAAUGGAUGAUUUACAUCCAUCUUAGUUAGCUAGAGUUUGAUAGAUAAUUAUAACUGUUUGCUUCAUCAAAAAUAGGAUCAUUUGGGAAAUUGAAAAAAAUGCCCGAAAUUGUUGCCAGCAUUCUAUUUAGAGAUUUGAGGUCUACUUGUUUAUUACAAAGAAAGUGGUUUACGUGUUCUCCAGAAACACACUAAGAUCUGACCUGUCCUCCAUUUUAAAUUUCCAGGAAGCAAAGGAGGUGGAGUCAAGAUAAAAGGAGACAUUUUAGUGGCUUUAAAACAACCAUUUCAUUUUGUGCACAGUUGUGUGUGGGUCAGGAAUUUCUAUAGGACUCAGCUGGGCGGGUCGUCUCGCUUCCACAGGGGGGCAUCUGGAGCUGGAGAAUCUACGUCCAUGGUGCCUUCAUGCACCCGUCUGGCUUCUCCCUGUUCCUCAGUCUCUGUUUCUCCACACAGUGUCUCAUUUUCUACAGCUUCUCGAUGUGGUUUGGGCUCCUCAUGGCAAGAUGGUCGAAUGGUAGUCUUCUCACCUGGUGACUGACUGGAUUCUAAGAAUGCAGGGAAGAAGUACCCCUUUCUUAAAGGUCAGGUCCAGGAACUGGCCUCACAUCACUUAUGUUAUACUCCAUUGGCCAGAGCUGGUGGGGUGGGGACACUCCUCUCCAUAGGAAGAGUGUCAAGGAACUCGGGCCGUCAUUUUUCUGCCACACACACUGGGGCACAUGAUCUACUAUGAAAUCAUAAUGCCUUGGUUUUUCAUUUGCCUCAUUUUUUAUAAGAAAUAGAAAUUAUAAAUAAAUU